rnacentral:rRNA from 1 species
CGAACGGGUGAGUAAUACGUGAGUAACCUGCCCUUGACUCUGGGAUAAGCCUGGGAAACUGGGUCUAAUACUGGAUACUACCUCUUGCCGCAUGGUGGGUGGUGGAAAGGGUUUUACUGGUUUUGGAUGGGCUCACGGCCUAUCAGCUUGUUGGUGGGGUAAUGGCUCACCAAGGCGACGACGGGUAGCCGGCCUGAGAGGGUGACCGGCCACACUGGGACUGAGACACGGCCCAGACUCCUACGGGAGGCAGCAGUGGGGAAUAUUGCACAAUGGGCGGAAGCCUGAUGCAGCGACGCCGCGUGAGGGAUGACGGCCUUCGGGUUGUAAACCUCUUUCAGUAGGGAAGAAGCGAGAGUGACGGUACCUGCAGAAGAAGCGCCGGCUAACUACGUGCCAGCAGCCGCGGUAAUACGUAGGGCGCAAGCGUUGUCCGGAAUUAUUGGGCGUAAAGAGCUCGUAGGCGGUUUGUCGCGUCUGCUGUGAAAGCCCGGGGCUCAACCCCGGGUCUGCAGUGGGUACGGGCAGACUAGAGUGCAGUAGGGGAGACUGGAAUUCCUGGUGUAGCGGUGAAAUGCGCAGAUAUCAGGAGGAACACCGA